CCCUGGUUAGCUCAGUUGGUAGAGCGCUCCACUUGUAAUGGAGAGGUCCCGGGUUCGAUACCUGGACCAGGUG
rnacentral:tRNA from 1 species